rnacentral:rRNA from 1 species
CAACUUUAAACGGUGGAUCUCUUGGCUC